GGGCCCUGGCACCGGGGAAAGAGACACCUUGUUGGUGGUGUUCUUGUGUCAGUCAGGGGCAGAGGAGAUGGCAGUCUUUUGUUCAUCCUAGCUCGAUGCCUGGCUUGGUGGCCAAAGCUGUCUUAGGUCUAGAAUGCAUAA